UUCGACUCAUAGUCUUAUAGUAGAGAGGUGUUGAUUUACGAAUAACAUCAAAGUUAGUUCUGUUAUCACUCACAAAUAUCGGAAAACUUAAAACGUUCAUACUUGUCGCAACUUGUAAUCAGUUCCGAUAUUACAUUCAUUUUCCAUCACGUACGCAGUUAAUAAUUUAUAUGAGUGUUUUAGAGGCUCAGAUGUGAAAGCAAUAUUACUUUUGCUGGAACUAGGCUAGUUAAUGUAGUAUUUUUUCAAACUAGUCUAUAGGGCUAAGUAAUUUUAUCGAGGUUCUUAACAUAACCUAUUCUCUAAACUUGGCUAACUGUGCCUUAAAUAAUACAUUGCAGUUUUAAUACGGUUUCUAGCUAAGAGUCCUACUUGGGCUGUAUUUAUUGUAACCAAUGGAUUUACAAGACUGCAACACAAAGGUUACUCAAAAGAGGUCUAUAACAGAGGACAGUAAUGUGAAACGGAA